rnacentral:rRNA from 1 species
UGGGGAAUAUUGCGCAAUGGGGGCAACCCUGACGCAGCCAUGCCGCGUGAAUGAAGAAGGCCUUCGGGUUGUAAAGUUCUUUCGGUGACGAGGAAGGCGUGAUGUUUAAUAGGCAUCACGAUUGACGUUGAUCACAGAAGAAGCACCGGCUAACUCCGUGCCAGCAGCCGCGGUAAUACGGAGGGUGCGAGCGUUAAUCGGAAUAACUGGGCGUAAAGGGCACGCAGGCGGCUAUUUAAGUGAGGUGUGAAAUCCCCGGGCUUAACCUGGGAAUUGCAUUUCAGACUGGGUAGCUAGAGUACUUUAGGGAGGGGUAGAAUUCCACGUGUAGCGGUGAAAUGCGUAGAGAUGUGGAGGAAUACCGAAGGCGAAGGCAGCCCCUUGGGAAUGUACUGACGCUCAUGUGCGAAAGCGUGGGGAGCAAACAGGAUUAGAUACCCUGGUAGUCCACGCUGUAAACGCUGUCGAUUUGGGGAUUGGGCCUUGAGCUUGGUGCCCGAAGCUAACGUGAUAAAUCGACCGCCUGGGGAGUACGGCCGCAAGGUUA